AUGACACCGGCUAGGCAAUGGAGGGCACGGGUGUCAAAAUGGACGAAAAGUGAGUUUGACACCACAUUUGGCCUGGAGCGCCUUUUGAAACAGAGACAGGCAGGGAGGGAGCGGAGAAGAGAGCGGAGGGGAAGAGCGGCUUCGACGCAAGUCACCGGCGUCGAUAUCCCCAGCCACGGCGACGCGUCGCCCGCUUCUUCGGGCCCUGCGAAGCGGCAGCAGCUCAAGCAACUAAUGACAGGGGUUCUGAAUGCCUUGGCAUCUUACGUGACCAAGAUGAUCGCCGACAUGGCUAGAGAAGAGGUGGCCAUGCUGAUCGGGAUCUCCAGCGCGAUCGCCGAUCUGACCAUCAAGCUUGGGGACCUCAAGAAUUUCCUUGCUGACGCCGAUAGAAGAAACAUCACUGACGAGAGUGUCCGGGGGUGGGUGGAGGAACUGAAGCAUGCCAUGUACCACGCUACCGACAUCAUCGAUCUGUGUCAGCUCAAGGCCAUGGAGCAAAGUCCAUCCAAGGACAUAGGGUGUCUUAACCCCUUGUUCUCAUGCAUGCAAAAUCCUCUCCAUGCACACGACAUCGGCAGCCGCAUCAAGGCACUGAACAAGGAGUUGGAUAACAUCAGCAAGAGGGGUCGUAGUUUCAAUUUCAUCAAGCUCGAAGUCUACCAGGACCAGAAGACAAAUCGGCCUCAUGGUAUUGACCGCAAGACUAAUCCUUUGUUGGAGCGGUCGGGCGUGGUUGGGGAGAAGAUUGAAGAUGACACGAGAUCACUUGUUCAGCUGCUCACGAAGGAAGUUGACACGAGUGAAAGCAUCAUGGUGUUCGCCAUCGUUGGUGUUGGCGGGAUUGGUAAGACCACCCUUAGCAAGAAAGUCUUUAACGACGAAGCAAUACAAGGCAAGUUCACCAAGAAAAUAUGGUUAAGUAUUACACAAGAAUUCAGCGAGGUUGACUUAUUGAGGACAGCCAUCACUACCGCCGAAGGAAAUUUGCCAGGACCUGGGGGUGGAUCUCAAGACAAAACUUUGCUUGUGCCGGCUCUUGCGAGUGCUAUCAAAGAUAAGAAGCUAUUUCUUGUGUUGGAUGACAUGUGGGGCACCUAUGAAUGGACCAACUUGCUUAGGGCUCCCAUUAGCCACAGUGCCCCGGGUAGCCGAGUCCUCGUCACCACAAGACAUGAAACUGUUGCCCGAGGAAUGAAAGCAGUAAAUCCAUACCACCGCAUCAACAAAUUAGGGCCCAAAGAUGGCUGGUCAUUGCUCACGAAGCAAGUACUCAUGACCAAGAAAAGCGAACCUGCAGUGGAUAUGCUGAAGGAUAUUGGAAUGCAAAUUGUAGAAAAAUGUGAUGGGUUAUCACUUGCCAUAAAAGUGAUGGGAGGACUCCUAUGCCAUAAGGAAAAAACCCGACGUGAUUGGGAGAAGGUAUUGAAUGAUGCUGUAUGGUCAAUAUCUCAAAUGCCAGAAGAGCUAAAUCAUGCCAUAUAUCUUAGCUAUGAGGACUUGUCCCCUUGUUUAAAGCAAUGCUUUCUGCACUUCUCCCUUAAGCCUAAAAAGAUGAUUUUAGAUGAUACACAAUUCAUCAACAUGUGGAUUGGUGAAGGAUUUGUUCAUGGAAACUCGGAUAUAUUGGAAGAAAUAGGAACUGAGUACCAUACAGAGUUGAGGUUGAGGAACCUUAUAGAGUCGGAUACAUCAUAUGCCAGUCACUAUGUUUGCAAGAUGCAUGAUGUUAUUCGUUCAUUUGCUCAAUUCAUGACAAGAAAUGAAGCACUAGUAGCUCAUAAUGGAGAAACUGUUAAUAGUAAACUUCAUUUGCAAAAGUUUCUCCGGUUGUCUAUAGAGACUAAUGGAUUGGAAUCGGAUGAAUUUGAGUGGAGAAGUUUACAAGGGCAAAUAUCUCUAAGAUCGUUAAUGUUAAUUGGAAACUUCAAGGUUCAGUCUGGUGAUUCCUUGGUUACCUUUUCAAGUCUGCGGACUCUACACGUAGAGUCUGCAGAGUUCGCCACAAUGGUUGAAUCUCUAUAUCAUCUCAAACACUUGAGGUAUUUGUCAAUGGAUAGAUGCGCUGAUAUAGAUUGCUUGCCAGAGAACAUUCACAAAAUGAAGUUCUUACAACACAUUAGUCUUGAAGGUUGUGAGAAUCUUGUGAAACUUCCUGAUAGCAUUGUGAAGUUAACGGAACUAAGAUAUCUUCAACUUGAAGGCACAGGUAUAUAUAGUAUUCCUAGGGGUUUCCAUGCUCUAACAAAUUUGAGGACACUAUCUGGUUUCCAAGUACACAUGGAUGGUGAUUGGUGUAGCUUGGAAGAGCUUGGACCUCUUUCCCAGCUUAGGGGCAUUGGAUUAGUGGGCCUGGGGAAUGUAUCUGAUGCUUCAUUUGUCACAAAGGUUAGGCUUGAUCAAAAAGUGCAUCUUUCUAGGAUGCGCUUAUUAUCCAGCAUUGCAUGUAAGAAUAAUCAAGGAGUAAUUGAGGAGGUGUUUAAUGAGCUAUCUCCUCCUCCGUGCAUAGAAAUUAUUUCCGUUGAAGGAUAUAUCGGGCGCCAGCUGCCAAGAUGGAUGAUGUCGACAGCAACAAUGCGCCUCAAUAGCUUGAGGACACUAGUGAUGGAAGAUUUGGCUUGUUGCAUCCAACUUCCUGAUGGAUUAUGUCAGCUCCCAUUGCUGGACUACCUGCAAGUCAACCGUGCUCCAGCGAUCAAGUGCAUUGGGCCAGAAUUUGUGCGCCCCCAAAGCCACCGUUGCUAUCCUUCAUCCCACAUGGUGACUGCAUUUCCGAGGCUGCGUGAGAUGGAUUUAUUAGAAUUCGUGGAAUUGGAGGAGUGGGAGUGGGAGGAGGAAGUGCAAGCUAUGCCAGUCUUGGUUGAGCUUACUUUCACAAGGUGUAAUUUGAAGUGUAUCCCUCCCGGUCUUGCCUCACAUGCAAAGGCUUUGAAAAAGUUAACCUUGUGGAGCAUGUGGCGUCUCCAUUCGCUAGAGAACUUUGCUUCUGUUGUUGAGCUCGACCUGUAUGACUUACCCAAGCUGAUUAGUAUCUCCAAUUUCCCUGAAUUGCAAAAGCUUGAGAUCAAGUCUUGCCCCGAGCUCACCUCACUAGAGGAAAUGAGUGCACUACGGAGACUUGUGCUGACAGUUCCCGGCUACGGUGAAAGAUUCCGACUCUCGCCCAACAAGAUGGGACUCCCCUUGUACCUUCAAACUGUAAAUCCAAGCCAUUUGCUGGUGGAUUGCGGUCUGGAGAUACUUGGUUUCAUGGCCGCAGGAAAAUCUGGCAGCGAGUGGGACAAGUUUAGCCAUAUCCAGCAUGUUGAGGCUUAUGCAGACAGUGAUUGCUGGGAUGACAAGAAAUGGCACGUAUUGUACACAAGGGAACCUUUCAGCAUUGAAACAAAUGUGCAGCCUGCAUUUCCGCGCUUGCUUAUAGGAGGAGCAAGAACUGCCCGCUGA
rnacentral:rRNA from 1 species